AGCCCUUGACAUGUCUCGUUUGGUUACCGGAGACGGUAUCCUUCAGUUCGGCUGGCGAGAACAC
rnacentral:rRNA from 1 species